ensembl:snRNA U2 U2 spliceosomal RNA
AUUGCUUCUCGGCCUUUUGGCUAGGAUCAAGUGUAGUAUCAGAGGCUUUAGCUUACUCAAUAAAGCAGAUGUGUUUUGCAAUUCUCAUGCUUUUUCUAUGAUCCAAUGAACAUUGGCAAUUUGAUCUCUGGUUCCUCUGGUUUUUCUAAACCCAGUUCUCAGUUCAUGUAAUGUCAAAGGCUAGCUGGAAGGAUU